UGGGGAAUUUUGGACAAUGGGGGAAACCCUGAUCCAGCCAUGCCGCGUGUGUGAAGAAGGCCUUCGGGUUGUAAAGCACUUUCGGACGGAACGAAAUCGCACGGGUGAAUAUCCCGUGUGGAUGACGGUACCGUAAGAAGAAGCACCGGCUAACUACGUGCCAGCAGCCGCGGUAAUACGUAGGGUGCGAGCGUUAAUCGGAAUUACUGGGCGUAAAGUGUGCGCAGGCGGCUUCGCAAGUCGAGUGUGAAAUCCCCGGGCUUAACUUGGGAACGGCGCUCGAAACUACGGAGCUAGAGUAUGGCAGAGGGAGGUGGAAUUCCACGUGUAGCGGUGAAAUGCGUAGAGAUGUGGAGGAACACCAAUGGCGAAGGCGGCCACCUGGUUGGAUACUGACGCUGAGACGCGAAAGCGUGGGGAGCAAACAGGAUUAGAUACCCAGGUAGUCCCUGAGCGGGCUGGCAAGGCGCAU
rnacentral:rRNA from 1 species